UACGUAGGGGGCGAGCGUUGUCCGGAGUUACUGGGCGUAAAGCGCACGCAGGCGGUCUGCUAAGUUUGGAGUGACAGUUGGUGGCUCAACCACCAAAGUGCUUUGAAAACUGACAGACUUGAGGGCUUCAGAGGGACACGGAAUCCGGGUGGAGUGGUGAAAUGCGUAGAGAUCCGGAGGAACACCAAAGGCGAAGGCAGUGUCCUGGGGAGUACCUGACGCUCAGGUGCGAAAGCGUGGGGAGCAAACAGG
rnacentral:rRNA from 1 species